rnacentral:rRNA from 1 species
CCUACGGGCGGCAGCAGUGGGGAAUCUUAGACAAUGGGGGAAACCCUGAUCUAGCCAUGCCGCGUGGACGAUGAAGGCCUUAGGGUUGUAAAGUCCUUUCAGCUGGGAAGAUAAUGACGGUACCAGCAGAAGAAGCCCCGGCUAACUCCGUGCCAGCAGCCGCGGUAAUACGGAGGGGGCUAGCGUUGUUCGGAAUUACUGGGCGUAAAGCGCACGUAGGCGGACUGAAAAGUUGGAGGUGAAAUCCCAGGGCUCAACCUUGGAACUGCCUUCAAAACUAUCAGUCUGGAGUUCGAGAGAGGUGAGUGGAAUUCCGAGUGUAGAGGUGAAAUUCGUAGAUAUUCGGAGGAACACCAGUGGCGAAGGCGGCUCACUGGCUCGAUACUGACGCUGAGGUGCGAAAGCGUGGGGAGCAAACAGGAUUAGAUACCCGAGUAGUC